rnacentral:tRNA from 1 species
CAGGGGUUAGUUUAUAAAAAUAUCAGUUUUGGAGACUGAGGAUGGAGAAUUUCUCUAUCCCUGA